rnacentral:misc_RNA from 1 species
CCUGCAGUGAGCCUAUCACA